rnacentral:rRNA from 1 species
AGUAACGGCGAGUGAACGGAGAUUUAGCCCAGCACCGAAGCCUAUUCGUAUUUGCGAACAGGGCAGUGUGGUGUUUAGGCGUGCUCCUGGAUGGGCCAUGCUACUCUAAGUCCAACUCCGAUUAUGGCUUUGGAUGUGUUCCAUAGCGGGUGAAAGGCCCGUGAGAGUAGCUUGUGUUGUUUUGGCCUGUCUCAGAUGCGCACGCCUUGGAGUCGGAUUGCUUGAGAAUGCAGUCCAAAGUGGGUGGUAAACUCCAUCCAAGGCUAAAUACUGGCACGAGUCCGAUAGUAAACAAGUACCGUGAGGGAAAGUUGAAAAGCACUCUGAAGAGAGAGUGAAUAGUACGUGAAACCACUCGUAUGGAAGCUGAAGGAGUCAAGCUUUUUGUCUUGAUAAUUGGUGUAACGAUUUUUUGUUGUAUUGCAAUAGCAGUUGUGCAUUCUGGAAAUGGAUGGGUCAUUCGUGGCUUCAGACUUUCUGGGUUGUUGGUUUGGCACUGUUGUAUAUUGCGUUCGUUGCAUUAUUUGUCAUUACAAUUACCAUGGUCAACGUGUCUGUAGUGCGGGUUUGUCUAACUAUGCUAUAGCGGGCUUUCAGCUCGUUGAGCAUGGGAUGGCAGGUAGUAGUCAAUUGGUGUACUCCAGUUGUGCUAUGUUAUUGUGCUGAUCUCCCCGUAUCAAUUACUAUCAGACGUGUUGUCUUUAUGAUAGCAGCGUUUGCUGCUUCAAGAGCCAUGGUAUUGAAGUAGAUGUUCCUUCAGACCCGUCUUGAAACACGGACCAAGGAGUUUAACAUGUGCGCAAGUCAAAGGGCUCUACGAAACCCAAUGGCGUAAUGAAAGUAAAAGAAUGUUUAUCACAUUCGAAGGUGUGAUGUGGUCGUGCUCUCAAUUGGGCUGAUCACCGCUUCCCGGCCCGUCUCGUAACGUAGUCAUAUUGGUCACGACUAGUGUGCAUCGUG